AUUGUCAUGAUUUAUAGCCUGAUAGUGCCAACAGUGAUGAAACUAAUUCGUCUAUCAAAUUAAAAGAUGCUACCAUAAUGCUGACACAAGCUGGGAUCUGUUUCUUGUCCUGCUUUCUCCAUUUCAUCACGGUCUUUUCCUCUUCAAUAGAAGGGAGAGCCACACAAGGUCCACUAUGUUACCAGUGUAAUUUGAUGUCCGAUCCUUCACAAUGUACGAACACUGUCAGGUGUGAAUUGGGUCAGGAAUGCAUGUUGCGAGAAUUAAGUCAUAAUGGUGGAGUUUCUUAUACAUCUGCCUGUGCAAAAGAACUGGUAUG